CCUACGGGUGGCAGCAGUGAGGAAUAUUGGUCAAUGGUCGGGAGACUGAACCAGCCAAGCCGCGUGAGGGAGGAAGGUACAGAGUAUCGUAAACCUCUUUUGUCAGGGAACAAAGGCGGGGACGUGUCCCCGGAUGAGUGUACCUGAAGAAAAAGCAUCGGCUAACUCCGUGACAGCAGCCGCGGUAAUAGGGAGGAUGCGAGCGUUAUCGGGAUUUAUUGGGUUUAAAGGGUGGGCAGGCGGUCUGUUAAGUCAGCGGUCAAAGCACGGGGCGAACCCCGGGCCCGCCGUUGAAACUGGCAGGCUCGAGUUGGAGAGAAGUAAGCGGAAUGCGCGGUGUAGCGGUGAAAUGCAUAGAUAUCGGGCAGAACUCCGAUUGCGAAGGCAGCAUGCCGGCUCCACACUGACGCUGAGGCACGAAAGCGUGGGUAUCGAACAGGAUUAGAUACCCGAGUAGUC
rnacentral:rRNA from 1 species